GUAGGUGGCAAGCGUUGUCCGGAAUUAUUGGGCGUAAAGCGCGCGCAGGCGGUUCUUUAAGUCUGAUGUGAAAGCCCACGGGCUCAACCGUGGAGGGUCAUUGGAAACUGGAGAACUUGAGUACAGAAGAGGAAAGCGGAAUUCCACGUGUAGCGGUGAAAUGCGUAGAGAUGUGGAGGAACACCAGUGGCGAAGGCGGCUUUCUGGUCUGUAACUGACGCUGAGGCGCGAAAGCGUGGGGAGCAAACAGGAUUAGAUACCCUGGUAGCCCACGCCGUAAACGAUGAGUGCUAAGUGUUAGGGGGUUUCCGCCCCUUAGUGCUGCAGCUAACGCAUUAAGCACUCCGCCUGGGGAGUACGGCCGCAAGGCUG
rnacentral:rRNA from 1 species